rnacentral:rRNA from 1 species
AAGACCUUGCGCUUUUGGAGCGGCCGAUGCCUGAUUAGCUUGUUGGUAAGGUAAAAGCUUACCGAGGCUUCGAUCAGUAGCUGGUCUGAGAGGACGGCCAGCCACACUGGGACUGAGACACGGCCCAGACUCCUACGGGAGGCAGCAGUGGGGAAUUUUGGACAAUGGGGGCAACCCUGAUCCAGCCAUGCCGCGUGAGUGAAGAAGGCCUUCGGGUUGUAAAGCUCUUUCAGCCGGAACGAAACGGUUACGGUUAAUAUCCGUGACUACUGACGGUACCGGAAGAAGAAGCACCGGCUAACUACGUGCCAGCAGCCGCGGUAAUACGUAGGGUGCGAGCGUUAAUCGGAAUUACUGGGCGUAAAGCGUGCGCAGGUGGUUUUGUAAGUCAGAUGUGAAAGCCCCGGGCUCAACCUGGGAACU